rnacentral:rRNA from 1 species
UACGUAGGGGGCUAGCGUUGUCCGGAUUAUUGGGCGUAAGGGAGCUCGUAGGUGGUUCGGUAAGUCGGAUGUGAAAUCUCCAGGCUCAACCUGGAGGGGUCAUUCGAUACUGCCGUGACUAGAGUUCGGUGAGAGGAGUGUGGAAUUCCUGGUGGACGCGGUGAAAUGCGCAGAGAUCAGGAGGAACACCCGUAGCGAAGGCGGCACUCUGGGCCGAUACUGUCACUGAGGAGCGAAAGCGUGGGGAGCGAACAGG